UAUUUUCUGGAGGAAAAAGCGUAAUUUUCGGCUGAAAGGUGGUACUUUCGGGUGAAAAUGCGUGCUUUGUGAGUGAAGCGUGUUAUAUUUGGGGUAGAAAUGUGUUAUUUCCCAGCGAAAAGUGGUAUUUUCGGGAAGGAAGUGCAGAAUUUUUGGGAGUAUUUUCGGGGUGAAAAUGCAUGAUUUUCGAAAGAAAAGU
rnacentral:lncRNA from 7 species